UGAUGAGAACUCCAGCCAACCUGAUGUAAAUGUGCCAAGAACCGUAGAGGUUGAAAAUAAUACAGCAGAAGCCGCGACAAGUGUCGGCCUAUCAGAAAACCAAAAAAAAAGCAUCAGUGAAGGGAUUUUGAUGAAAUUUUGAGUAAAUGUGGACCAUGGGCCAAGGAACAAAUUAUUAGAUUUUGAUACAAAUUCGGAUAUGUAUGCAGAUCCAGGAUUUUUUUAACUGUUCCCAACAUCUCAGAAAGUAGUGAACAGAUUUUGAUGAAAUUUUGAGGAAAGGUGAGCCAUGGACCAAUGAACAAUUGAUUAGAUUUUGAUGCAAAUCAGAAUAUGUGGCUUGGCGGAGGUAUACACUCUCCCAAGUACCCUUCUAGUUUCUUCCUGUUUUCUGCUGGUCUUUAACCAUAU